ACUUCGGCUCAGACCUUCGCCAUGUUGCAAAAUUGCAAUCCGUUUCCCAUGAUGCCACGCAAUUUCAUCAUAUGACAGAGCCGCUUUAUAAGCCAAUCACAGCAAAGUAUUCGAGCGCAUGCGCUUCUCGACACUUGCCAAUCAUCUGCUACCGAAGAAUAUCCAUUGGAUUCCAAUAAAUCAUUCAGUUCUCGUUUUAUUUUUUGAACUACUGGAGGUCCAUGAUACGUAUAUGAUGUAUAAAUUUGUAUUAAAGAUGCACCAGCAUUUAUUUUAUCAAAAGCAUCUUGACCAGAAAAAAUUCCACCUACACCAAUUAUUGGGAUUUUUCCUUCAGCCUUCAACAUAAUCAUUAACUGGAUCAGUGGAUGUUUUAUUUUUCCCUAGAUUAACUCCAACAAUUCCAUGAAAGUUUGGAUCCUGUUUCAACAUUGCUAUUCGACUUCGAACAAUUUCGUGACCAUCACUG